rnacentral:rRNA from 1 species
GGUUAAGCGACUAAGCGUACACGGUGGAUGCCCUGGCAGUCAGAGGCGAUGAAGGGCGUGCUAAUCUGCGAUAAGCGCCGGUAAGGUGAUAUGAACCGUUAUAACCGGCGAUACCCGAAUGGGGAAACCCAGUGUGAUUCGUCACACUAUCAUUAACUGAAUCCAUAGGUUAAUGAGGCGAACCGGGGGAACUGAAACAUCUAAGUACCCCGAGGAAAAGAAAUCAACCGAGAUUCCCCCAGUAGCGGCGAGCGAACGGGGAGGAGCCCAGAGCCUGAAUCAGCAUGUGUGUUAGUGGAAGCGUCUGGAAAGGCGCGCGAUACAGGGUGACAGCCCCGUACACAAAAGCGCAUGUGCUGUGAGCUCGAUGAGUAGGGCGGGACACGUGGUAUCCUGUCUGAAUAUGGGGGGACCAUCCUCCAAGGCUAAAUACUCCUGACUGACCGAUAGUGAACCAGUACCGUGAGGGAAAGGCGAAAAGAACCCCGGCGAGGGGAGUGAAAAAGAACCUGAAACCGUGUACGUACAAGCAGUGGGA